CCUACGGGUGGCAGCAGUGAGGAAUAUUGGUCAAUGGACGAGAGUCUGAACCAGCCAAGUAGCGUGAAGGAUGACUGCCCUAUGGGUUGUAAACUUCUUUUAUAAAGGAAUAAAACGAGGCACGUGUGCCUUUUUGCAUGUACUUUAUGAAUAAGGAUCGGCUAACUCCGUGCCAGCAGCCGCGGUAAUACGGAGGAUCCGAGCGUUAUCCGGAUUUAUUGGGUUUAAAGGGAGAGUAGAUGGGUUGUUAAGUCAGUUGUGAAAGGUUGCGGCUCAACCGUAAAAUUGCAAUUGAUACUGGCAGUCUUGAGUACAGUUGAGGUAGGCGGAAUUCGUGGUGUAGCGGUGAAAUGCUUAGAUAUCACGAAGAACCCCGAUUGCGAAGGCAGCUUACUAAACUGUGACUGACAUUGAUGCUCGAAAGUGUGGGUAUCAAACAGGAUUAGAUACCCGAGUAGUC
rnacentral:rRNA from 1 species